rnacentral:rRNA from 1 species
GGGCCCGCACAAGCAGUGGAGUAUGUGGUUUAAUUCGAAGAUACGCGAAAACCUUACCAGGUCUUGACAUCCCUCUGACCGGUGUAGAGAUACACUUUCCCUUCGGGGCAGAGGUGACAGGUGGUGCAUGGUUGUCGUCAGCUCGUGUCGUGAGAUGUUGGGUUAAGUCCCGCAACGAGCGCAACCCUUACUGAUAGUUGCUACGCAAGAGCACUCUAUCGGGAUUGCCGUUGACAAAACGGAGGAAGGUGGGGAUGAGGUCAAAUCAUCAUGCCCCUUAUGACCUGGGCCACACACGUACUACAAUGGCCGUUAACAAAGGGAAGCAAUACCGCGAGGUGGAGCGAACCCCAAAAACGGUCUCAGUUCGGAUCGCAGGCUGCAACCCGCCUGCGUGAAGCUGGAAUUGCUAGUAAUCGCGGAUCAGCAUGCCG